rnacentral:lncRNA from 1 species
AUAUCCGCAGGGCGGAGCGAGCACUCAGUAAGAAAGGAUAGCUUUUCUCCCUUUUCUGCUUCGCUCCCAACUAAGAAUGCAGAGUCAGGGAGAUGGCGCAGAGACAAUGCUGCUGUCCAUUGAAGCCCUCCAAAGGUCGGAGAUUCGAUCACAGGACAGCCUGGCCUGGACCAAGUCAGGUUGAUAUGGCUAGGCGGCCUGCUGGCGAGAUAGUGGGAGUGGGCGGUCCGCCCCUCAGGACCUCUGACUUGGACAGAUGACUGGAUGACUCUCUGGGGCAGCAUUCACCGGAACUCAUAUGGAGGGGACUGCCUGAGAAACCAACCUGUGUGCCUGGGUCAGGUUGAUAUGGCUAGGCGGCCUGCUGGCGAGAUAGUGGGAGUGGGCGGCCCGCCCCUCAGGACCUCUGACCUGGACAGAUGACUGGAUGACUCUCUGGGGCAGCAUUCACCGGAACUCAUAUGGAGAGGACUGCCUGAGAAACCAACCUGUGUGCCUGGGUCAGGUUGAUAUGGCUAGGCGGCCUGCUGGCGAGAUAGUGGGAGUGGGCGGUCCGCCCCUCAGGACCUCUGAUUUGGACAGAUGACUGGAUGACUCUCUGGGGCAGCAUUCACCGGAACUCAUAUGGAGGGGACUGCCUGAGAAACCAACCUGUGUGCCUGGGUCAGGUUGAUAUGGCUAGGCGGCCUGCUGGCGAGAUAGUGGGAGUGGGCGGUCCGCCCCUCAGGACCUCUGACUUGGACAGAUGACUGGAUGACUCUCUGGGGCAGCAUUCACCGGAACUCAUAUGGAGGGGGCUGCCUGAGAAACCAACCUGUGUGCCUGGGUCAGGUUGAUAUGGCUAGGCGGCCUGCUGGCGAGAUAGUGGGAGUGGGCGGUCCGCCCCUCAGGACCUCUGACUUGGACAGAUGACUGGAUGACUCUCUGGGGCAGCAUUCACCGGAACUCAUAUGGAGGGGGCUGCCUGAGAAACCAACCUGUGUGCCUGGGUCAGGUUGAUAUGGCUAGGCGGCCUGCUGGCGAGAUAGUGGGAGUGGGCGGUCCGCCCCUCAGGACCUCUGACUUGGACAGAUGACUGGAUGACUCUCUGGGGCAGCAUUCACCGGAACUCAUAUGGAGGGGGCUGCCUGAGAAACCAACCUGUGUGCCUGGCCCACCACCUACCAGAGGUAUUGGAAAAGAACGGAUACGGAGGAAGUGGACCCAUUUAGAGUUUUCAGGUUUGAAAAAAGGAUGGAAAAGAACUCAAAUUCAGAGAAUCCCAUUUCUUCAGAUGCUUCUGUCAGGACUCCAUGUCAAUCUCAACUCCUUCAUUCUUGUCCUCAAGUGUUUCUGUCAGGCUGUUUGCACUCACAUCUUCAAGAGCUGCCAGAUCAAGAGAGGGCAGAGGGUUCCUCCAAUACUGGAAUGUAUUAUACUGCCAAAACUCUUCAGGCUGCUGGCUGUGCACCCGGUCGGCUACCUGCGGGCUUCCCGCGUUUUCUACUCUGUCGCCGCCGCCCGCAGCCCGGGGUUCCUCCUGCUCGCCAGGAGGCGGCUCUCCGGGCUCCCGGCUACAGCCCUGCAGCUCCUGUCUGUCGUCCCCGCCAUGAUCCCCGCGUCCCCCUGGCGCUUGAGGGGCCGAGCCGUCCCAGACGGCGGGACCCAGAGCGGCGGCUCCUCGGGGAAGUCGCUGAGCAGGAGCCGCUUCCAAGGCACGCGGAACGUGAGCGGCUCAGCCGCACGCCGCUUGGCCAUGGGCCAGGGACGAGGGUCGCACGGGUGUCGGCCGAGGGCGGAGGGCGAAGGGCAGCCAAGACAUCUUAUGCCAUCACAUUCUCUAAUGACUGAUUAAAAAUAUAAAUCAUUUGCAUAC